GGGGAGGAACGUUGCAUAUUCUUUUCUUAAAAUACAGCAUGAAGUUGCAUGAUGGAUACGAACAAAUAUGAAAAAAAAAACAGUACAAACGUUUAAAAAGAGAAUCAUUUAAUGUUAUAUGCAAAAAAAAAAAAAGAGUAUAUAUAUUUUUUUCUUUGGUGGAGAAAAAAAUGAAAUUCAAAUAUUCAAAGAAUAAAGUUUGCAAAAUAUAAAAAUAUUGUUAAAGAUUAUAAUGGUAAUGAUGGAUGAUGAUUAAUAAUAUUAAUAAUAUUAAUAAUAAUAAUAAUAAUAAUAAUAAUAAUAAUUCUAAUAAUGCUGAUGUAUUUAUAAAACUUUUAACCAGCCGUUUGAAACAAAAGACAAACUCAUAUUCAUAUUAAUAUUAUUAAUACUAAAUACUGAUAAUAACAAUAAUAAUAUUAACUAUGCUGCUCUGUGAUUGUGAGCUGAAUUGAGAAAACUCUAUUGAAGUCCUGGUUAUUGUGAAAAUUAACACCAGUUCUUUACAUAGACAGGCUUAGAAUUGCUAAAUCUGUAAUUUUUAUUCUGCAUGCUGGUUCCUCCUUGUAUAACUGGCUAUUCCUAAUAAUAACCAGGACUGGGUUCAGUUAAACCCGCCUGCGUAAAGAACUCCAGCUCCCAUCAUGCCUCGCCGUUGCUGCUAGUGCUGAGGCAUGCUGGGAGCUGUAGUUUUUUGUUUAGUUUUUGCACUGAUUUUUCUCAAAGCAGGGCACAGCUGGAGCCUGGGAAGGAGAGAAGAGAGGGGGAACAGUUCCGAGGACAGCGGGCGAUGUCACCGAGGCACGGGAUUCCGGUUCUAGAACUUGAAUAGUUCCGUUGGGCGGGUGAGGUCAAGGGCGGUGCCAUUUCGCGACUCUAUUGCAAUGCAUUCAAACUGGGGCAUUCACCUUUAUUAAUUUUUUUUAAAAAUAUCUAUAGUUGCAAUCUGUUUUUUUUUUUUAUACAGAGGCAUCAGCAAAGCCUGCGACGCGCCGCGUUCAUUUGCAGGAUUAAUAAGUUACAGUUAGUCUUCUCUUUAGCGGUUCACAGACUCAGAGGAGGGAGUGAUCCUGACCACACAGUUAAAGAACACAUUUAAAUAAACAGCUUAAAAAAAAUGCUCCAAGAAUCAUUACAAAGCAGCCUGUUGCUCAAAUGAGGACAACGGCGCUUGAAUGGGUUAAAAACUACAUCUCCCACAAUCCCCCACGACCUCCCGCCACACCCAUUCUCCUCUGCAGCCCUUGAAGGGGUUGCUGGGAAUUGUAGUCUUCUGCCAGGACCAUGUCCCUCAAUGGAAUGGGUUCAGAACUACGUCUCCCACAAUCCCCCACGACCUCCCGCAACGCCCAUUCUCCUCUACAGCCCUUGAAGGGGUUGGCUGGGAAUUAUAGUCUUCUGCCAGGACCAUGUCCCUCAAUGGAAUGGGUUCAGAACCCAUUUUGUAUGCUUUAAUGCUCUGGUUGUUUGCCCUCAACCAAAAUGGCUGCCGUUGCCUCGCCCCCCCAUUGGAUUCCGCCCUCAAAGAGCCCUACGGAAGCCUGCUGGGAUCCGAGCUGUUCCCUCUCCCACAUCGCUCAGUUCCUGGGCCCCUGCGCUGAUCUGAAUGAGGGUAGCUGAAUGGCACUUUGGUCAUGUUGACCGCGUACAUUUUUGUUAUGAUUUUAAUCGAUUCUAUUCUGAGUUUAUUAAUAUCAACCUGCUAUGAGCACGACAAAAACAAACACAGAUGAGACGUUUUAAAGAAGAAAAAAAUCUAAAAAAAUAUGAAAUAUAUAUAUAUAUAUAUAUAUAUAUAUAUAUACUUGAUUUGGAGAGAGAGAAAGAUGGGGAAAGAGAAGGGGGGAGGGGGGAGGGGAUGGGUAAGAGAGAGAGAGAGAGAGAGAGAGAGAGAGAGAGAGAGAGAGAGAGAGAGGAGGGAGGGUAAUUUUGUUAAAAGCCUUGUCAUUAAUCUUUUACCCUUUACUGUGUGUUGGGCAGAGCCUCGCUGUGCUGUGCUGCUCUGUACACAGGAUUAUGUAUAUGCAAAAAAACGACACCUUUUAAAUGAAACAUGCAUUUAGGAAAAUAUUGUGACACUAAACAUCUAAUGGAGGUUCUUGGCAGUGUGAUUUUAAUGCAGGUGUUCUUAAUGCCCAAUGCUCUGUCCACUCUCCCCCUCCCUCUCUCUCUCUCUCUCCUCUCUCUCUCUCUCUCUCUCUCUCUCUCUCUCUCUCUCUCUCUCUCUCUCUCUCUCUCUCUCUCUCUCCCUCCUCUCUCCUCCCUCUCUCUGAUAACGAUGUCCAAGUUCUUCCUUGACUCAGAGUUCCUGCAUUUUGACUCCUUAUUUAUGUGCUGUUUUUUCUAGCAUGCUUGAGGUUCUAAUUCCCAGAGUAACGAUGAGACUUAAAUACUUCUGUCUGUCUGUGUGUCUGUGUGUCUGUGAGUCUGCGUGUCUGUCUGUCUGUUUGUCUGUCUGUGUGUCUGUGAGUCUGCGUGUCUGUCUGUCUGUCUGUCUGUU